GAUCUUGAGAACUAAAAAGUAAGCCUUUUAUCCCACUGGGGAAAAAUAUUAAAAAAUUGCUAGAAGGAGGGCUUGAACCUCCGACCUUGUGGUUAACAGCCAUUCCAUCAAAUUUAAUAUAAAAAUUAAGAUUUAAAGUUUUGAGGUUAAACCAAAUUGUUCAUUUUUUGCUUUUAAUGAAUAUUGUGUUCAAGGAUAUAAUUGUCUUUGCUCUUUUUGCCCCUUUGUAUUAAGGUUGAUGGUAAUGACAAGAAAAAGAAGAAGGGUGGAAGUGGAUUUCAGGUGGGGAAGAGAAGAGUGAAGACCAAGAUGACAGCUCUGGCUAAAGCUAAAGCCGCCCAAGCAAUGGAGCUUGACAAAUGAGGUUUGACUUGUGUAGUUUUAGGCGAUGCAUUGAAAUUGAUAGAUUAUGGUGUUAUUUUGGGCUGUAAUCCUUUUUGUUCAGCUACAUGAGAGCAUAUGCUGUAUAUUAGGUGACUAAUUUUGUUAUGGUUGUGGUGUCUCUUUUCCAAUUUUGUGAAACCUUUACCAUAUAUCUUUUAAUUGAUUGAUAAAAUUUUGCCCCUAAUGUCUUCGUUCUGCAUUGCUGGCUGACAAUAUAUUAUGUUAGCCUAGUCCACUGGUUGUGGUUGUAAAGGGUGUUUAAGCAUUUUUUUAUCACAAUGAGGUACCUAUUUUCUGCGAGCAUUGGUCUGCUCCAUUGUUAGAGGAGGGAACUAGUAAGGUGAAAUUGAUACCAGGAUAACGUGUAAAUAUGAAUUCGAGUAUUAUAGUGCUGGAACAUUUGCAUAUUUGCCUUGAUUUCUAAUCCUUCAGAAUGGUAUUCCAUUUGCUCUAAUGUUUGGUGUCAGCAUUAAGCUGCAUAAAUUCUUUGCUAGUAAGGUAUACUUGUCCAUUUUUUAUGCAUGAAGUCUUUGCUAGUAAGCUGCAUAAAGUCCUUGAGAAUGAUAUUCCGUUUGCUCUAAUGUGUGGUAUCCCAUUUUUAGAUUACCGUUGGCAUUGCUGAACCUGAGUAUUCUGAUCCCAAUAAUACUUGGAUGUUUCAAAGGUAGUGGAAAGUCCAGUACUAAAAUGUGAGACCCAUAUUAGUUUGAUGAUUUAAAAAAAAAUUAUUUAAAAUCUACUAUUUGACUUUUUUAAUAACACAUGUCAUUAUCUCCUUUAGUAUUGGACCCUCUAGUAUCGGAGAUGAUCCGGUUUCCAAAUCCUUAUAUGGUAAAUGUUUUCUUUCGAUGUAAAACUGCUUAAUUUAUUUGCUUUGUAUUCCUGUGGGACUGGAGUAUAUUAUUAUAUAUGACUGGGAGACAGUUCUACUUUGAGUGAAAUUUACUGGAAGGAGAGAACUUUAUUAGCACAAUGAACCUGUUUUUUGGCAUGUCCAAUUUGACAAUGUAGUCUGUGUGAAUAAUCCUUGUGGACAUAAAUGUUUGAUAGAAUAGGCGCGCAGGUAAUAAUGUUCAGGAGGUUCAAAUUGUAUUUGUAUAUAUUUUUUUUCAGACUUUCUCUUGUUAAGUUAUUUUUUAAUGGAUGUGAUUUCAAAUUAUUUUUUUAUUAAAAAAUGUAAAUAUUAAUUUUUUUUUCAGAUUCAAGUACCGGAAAGUCGAGCACGGGAGAGGAGCUAUACUGCAAAAUGUUAUAGUUGAAGCAUGAUUCUCUUUUGCCGCGCCCCGAUUUUCGGUUACGCGACCUCUUAGAAUCGCCACUACAUUUUAGGGUUAAAAAUGUAGAAAAAUCUUUAACGCCCAAUCACAUUGGGCUUUUGGAUUGUGAUAUCCAGGUUCUGGAGUCGAUUACGAAUCGAGGAAGGUAUUAGCACCUCGUCCGCCCAUAAUUAAACAGUACCCUUGCUAAUUGUAUGAUU
rnacentral:lncRNA from 1 species